GACGAACGCUGGCGGCGUGCUUAACACAUGCAAGUCGAACGGAAAGGCCCUGCUUUUGUGGGGUGCUCGAGUGGCGAACGGGUGAGUAACACGUGAGUAACCUGCCCUUGACUUUGUGAUAACUUCUGGAAACUGGGGCUAAUACCUGAUAGGAUCUCCUGCUGCAUGGUGGGGGUUGGAAAGUUUCGGCGGUUGGGGAUGGACUCGCGGCUUAUCAGCUUGUUGGUGGGGUAGUGGCUUACCAAGGGUUUGACGGGUAGCCGGCCUGAGAGGGUGACCGGCAAAAUUGGGACUGAGAGACGGCCCAGACUGCAACGGGAGGAAGCAGUGGGGAAGAGUGCAAAAUGGGCGGAAGCCUGAUGAAGAAAAGCAGCGGGCGGGAUGACGGCCUUCGGGUUGUAAACAGAUUUCGAAUGUGACGAAGAGUGAGUGACGGUAAUGGGUAAAGAAGCAACGGCUAACUACGUG
rnacentral:rRNA from 1 species